CAAAGAAGGGCGUGGUCCGAGGCGUCAAAAUGGGAGCUGCGCGUGCAGCUGUCACCGCCCACUCUGGGGGCGGGGCGAUUUCCCUUGGGUGCGCGCGCAGCUUUCUCUAGUUAGUCUGCGGACCCCAGAGGCCGCUCUCCGGCCCGCGCCCUGGACCCCCUUUCUCCACAGGCGCCCCCGAACCGGGGCCUUCGGAACCCAGGGCUCAGGAGGGCUGAGCAGACCCGGCCGCAGCUGCCGCGGGGCCUUCCGGUCACGGCAGCCUCGGGACUCAGUGCAGCUGCCCAGGGCCUCCGUGGCUGAGCCUGGGGGUUCUCUGGACAGGAUCCGAACCACUGGCAGAUGUGGGUGCCUGUUGCUGUUGAUUUCUCAACAAUGUUGCAGUGGAUUCAUUUCUGAGAGGAACAGCGUGGUGGGGGCAAGAGGCGCGGAGUCACUACACAGACCCCGGGAGUCCAGUGAAAGCAGGCUUGAGGUGAGCAGCCGGCAGACUUGUUUAUUUCAGUUGAAACUACCUCUUAUAUAGCCAAGACAAGCCAAUAUGGUCAAGGGGCAGUCUAUGCCCCAUCCAAUCACAGCCUGCCAGGCAGUUUCCAAAGCCAUCCAAUCACAGCCUGCCAGCAGCUUCCAAAGCCAUCCAGUCACAGCCUGUUGCCAGGCAGUUUCCAAAGCCAUUCAAUCACAGCCUGUUGCCAGGUGGGUUUCAAAGCCAUUCCUGAGUAACUGAUGCUCCCUUGCCAGUGGCCACCUUGGCAUGGCCCUCUCAUUCCACCACACCAAGCCAUAACAAAGAGCUGGAUCAAAAGUGGAGCAGCUGGGACUCAAACCGGUGCCCAUAUGGAAUGCUGGCACUGCAGACAGUGGCUUUACCUGCUACACUACUGUGCCAGCCCCAGAACAAGCAUGUAUAACACAGCAAGUUAGAAUAUUGGAUUUUGAAUAUGAAUUCACAUUAGGAUAUGCUUUAUAUUGUAGGAGUUUAUGGAUAGAGGUUAUGGGCAAACACAAGACUUGUGUAGGUAAGUUUUACAUAGAUACUUAGGCAUGAAGAUAAAUUUUUCAUUACCUACACAAUCAUAUUAUUGAAAAAUAAAAAUAGAGAUAAAGGAUGGAAAAAGAAAGCAGAGGAGUCAUAUGUGAUUUUUUUUCAGGGCCCAUAUAAAUAGUGACACUUUGGCAAGGGAUUUUUCAUGAGAUUGUUUUAAGGAAGAAAUUUUUCUGAAAAGGAAACUCAAAUGUAGCACACACUUAUUUUCUAUGAUAUUUCUGCUUAAGCAAAGUGCUUAUGCAUGUAUUACUUUCUUGUAAAUUCAAAAUUACCGGACAGUUCAUCGGGAAAAACAACAGGAGAAAGUCAAAAAAUUGAUUUAGAGUUCACUUUUCUUUUACAAUGUAGACUGACAAAAUAUUUUUAAAAUAAAUGUAACCCUUGAUAUUGUAGAAAUAUUGCCAUAUUGCAAAUGUGUGAAAUAUGGGAAAUACUUAUAAAUAGUAAAAACACAAAAAGACACACACACACACAUAAACUGUACACAUACUAGGGUCUAUUCUUAUCUUUAGGGGGAAAGGACUCAAAGAUAAAUGUCUCCCCAGUUUUUUAACUCAGAACUACUCUCAGUGGUUCACACAUUUUACUGAUGAGUAAACUUGCUUCAAGUUUUCCAUGAAUAGAAAUUGAGAAAUUUGUCAAUUGUACUCUAUGGAGCAUGUAAGUGACCAUACCAUAAACUCUCAAAUGCAAUGGUGUGUUGGAGUUCUUUCCUGGAUAUUGUUCCUGACCUUGUGGGCAGUGAGAGCCACAGGAGAGUUAAAGGUACUUCAACUGACAGAUCUGUUACUUGGAGGCUCCACAAGGAAUCAAUGACAUCUUUGUGCAACUUGAGGGCUUGGCUGCUCCUCUUCUGAUUCAGCUCUCUGCUAUGGCCUGGGAUAGCAGUAGAAGAUGGCCCAAGUCCUUGGGCCCCUGCACCAUGUGGGAGACCUGGAAGAAGCUCCUGGCUCCUGGCUUCGGAUUGGUACAGCUCCAGCUGUUGUGGCCAAUUGGGGAGUGAACCAUCAGAUGGAAGAUCUGUCUCUUCUCUCUCUCUCUCUCUCUCUCUCUCUCUCUCUCUCUCUGCCUCUCCUCUCUCUGUAAUUGAGACUUUCAAAUAAAUAAAUAAAUCUUUUUAAAAAACUGUCAAAUAACCCAGCUUACAGGUCUUAAGAGUACCUGAAGAUGUAGAAAGAGAGAAUGGAAUAGAAGGCCUAUUUUUGUGAAAUAAUCACAGAAAACUCCCCCAAUUUGGAGAAAGAAAAGGAUGCCAAGUACAGGAAGCACAUAGAACACAUAAGAAACAUGACCUGAAAGGAUCUUCACCAUGACACAUUGUAGUCAAACUUUCCACAGUAAGGCAUAAAGAAACAUGUUCGUAUGUGUUUUCUGCUGUAAUCAAUUUCUAAAGUGUAUACACUGACAAGAAGAACUACACAAAGUACAGUCAUUGAACAAGGUAUAUCUCCUGAGAGGGGCUCCAGGCGGCUCAGCCAGUGCUACUGUUUGUGUUUCCCACACCGCAGGAGCCCUCAGGAGGAUGCUAGGACUCCGGUAUGCAGUGGGCUGGCCGUCAGGACCACGGGGUGGUGUGCAGUCCCCGCCUGCAGCUUCUUUGAACCCUGGGGCAUCAGCUUUCCAAUCUCUGUGUGGCAGAGUGGACAUUGUGAGAGAGAGAGAGACAGACAGAAAGGACUUCCUUUUUGCCGUUGGUUCACCCUCCAACAGCCGCCGCAGCCAGCGCACUGCGGCCGGCGCACCACACUGAUCCGAAGCCAGGAGCCAGGUGCUUCUCCUGGUCUCCCAUGCAGGUGCAGGGCCCAAGGGCUUGGGUGAUCCUCCACUGCACUCCCGGGCCACAGCAGAGAACUGGACUGGAAGAGGUGCAAGCAGGACAGAAAUCCAGCUCCUGGACCGGGACUAGAUCCCCGUGUGCUGGCACCACAGGUGGAGAAUUAGCCUAUUGAGCCGCAGUGCCGGCCUUAUAUUCUAAUUUUAUAUUUGCUCUAUUUCAUUGUUAUUUCAGGAACUGUGAAGGGAGUGCAUGGUGAUUUUUUCUAUUUUUUAUUUUCUGGGAUUUUUUCUUAGCUCUGGUGUCUUAUUGACUCACUUUUCUUGAGCAUUGUGGUUAUCUUCUCCUUAGUUAUCAAAGAUAGCAAUAGCCCUGAUCUCUUUUUAAGCAAGAAAAGAAAAGCAUUAAAAGACAGAGCAUGUAGUUCACUUGGUCAGAUGACUUUCCUGACCUCCUGUGGUUUGUCUUGGUCUUUGCUGUACAAUUCUCUUUCCUCAUUAAUUUCUUCAUCUUCCCAUUACUCAGCAAAAGAGUGAUUCCACAGCCAUUUUCCUGUAUUGAUUGGGACUCAGAUUGUGUGUAAUGCUGAAGAACUGAAACUGUCUUGUUCACAGCUUACAGGACUGAGCAUGGCAACUUUACUGGAAGCAAGUGACCAUAGGAUUACCAUUUAAGGCAGUAUUAGCCUCCAUCUUUGAAGCCUGACACCAUUUUACUGAUGCUGGAAGAAGAAAUGGGAAAUUUCUAACAGAAGUCUGUAUUUAAUGUCAUUAGCUUUGGUAGAACACUACUAAAUAUAUAAUUAAUAUUUUAAGUUAUAACAAUUGUAAAACAUAAAAAUAAAAAUACUAUACCCUUAGGUUAAAUGAAUUGGGAUAAAUAAGUGCAUUUCCUCUAGCUACCUCCCCUAUACCUGUAGAGAUUAGCAUUAGGACAUUUAAGAAGCCAUAUUGUGCUGGAGCAGAGAGAAGAGGAAAGAAACAAACAGAAGUCAGGAGAUGUUAAUAGUUUUGGAUGUUGGGAGGAACAGCUAAACAGAAUUCUAUAAUUAAUUUAGAAUGUUUGAUCCAAAUUUGUGAGGGCUGUGGUGAGUGCUUGGAUUUAAGGAGCAUAAACUCUUAUUCCUUUCAACAACCUUAUUCAACAACAUGAUUGCUGAUUCUUCAUUCUAACAGAAGAUUUAGAGAUUUGCUCUCAGGAGAGCUAGACAA